CCUGCCCCUAAGGUGGUGCAGAUAUGGCUGCUGUGUCACAUGUGUGUCAGUAGGUGGCAGAGAAAAGAGAGGCUGUACCUCGACUCAGUAUUCUAAUCUAUGAAUAUCGGGAUGAUUAGUAGCCUAACAUU
rnacentral:snoRNA from 1 species